rnacentral:rRNA from 1 species
GACGAACGCUGGCGGCGUGCUUAACACAUGCAAGUCGAACGAUGAAGCCGGAGCUUGCUCUGGCGAAUUAGUGACGAACGGGUGAGUAACACGUGAGCAAUCUGCCCUUGACGCUGGGACAACGGCGGGCAACUGUAGCCAAUACCGGAUACGACACCUUGGGGCUUCCCAGGGUGUGGCAAGAAUUUGGGGCAAGGAUGAGCUCGGGGCCUAUAGGCUAGUUGGUGAGGGAAUGGCUCACCAAGGCGACGACGGGUAGCCGGCCUGAGGAGGUGGACCGGCCACAAGGGAACUGAGGCACGGUCCAGACUGCUACGGGAGGCAGCAGGGGGAAAUAUUGCACAAUGGGCGCAAGUCUGAUGCAGCGACGCCGCGUGAGGAAUGACGGCUUUCGGGUUGUAAACCUCUUUCAGCACCGACGAAGCGCAAGUGACGGUAGGUGCAGAAGAAGGACCGGCCAACUACGUGCCAGCCGCCGCCGUAA